GACAAAGAGCAGUAGAACACCAAGAUGACAAGAAUUUCCCUGUUACAUUGAAACAAGAUGGAGUCAGAAACGGAGACAAUAUUAAAUGAAGAGUGGCAAAAUGGGGAGAGGUGGAAAGGUGACAGAGCAAACCAAAAUAAACAAUCAAUGAAAAUCCCACAGGAACUCACCCUCAACUGUUCAUUAGCAAGGUGCGAGAUACCUAGUGCUUGGUAGUGAAAAGAAAAGAGGGAAACCAAGGACUGUUUCGUCAAGGCACAAGUUGUUUCAUCAGACGGCGUCGGCAGUUUUCAAUCGACCGCAAGGAUAGGGCACCAGCUUGAGCCAUUCUGAUUAUCCAAAGUGUUGGCCGACGCCUUCCAUUUAUGCAGUCUUAUUUCCUUCAUGUUGUAAGAUUUAGUUUCUUAAAAGUGGCCCUUUGAUGGCGGUGAUUCAGGGAUGUUGCUCCCCAGGAUUGAACAUUUUAUUUAUUUUUCCUUUAAUUUGUAGUCAAACACUUUGAUUUCAAUAUAUGGGUCUGGAGGCUACCUUCUUUUUCUGGGCUCAA